AGCGGCGGACGGGUGCGUAAUACUUAGGAAUCUGCCCCAGUAGUGGGGGACAACACGGGGAAACUCGUGCUAAUACCGCAUACACCUUACGAGGAAAAGGGGCCUUAGGGUCUCGCUAUUGGAUGAGCCUAAGCAAGAUUAGCUAGUUGGUGGGGUAAAGGCCUACCAAGGCGACGAUCUUUAGCUGGUCUGAGAGGAUGAUCAGCCACACUGGGACUGAGACACGGCCCAGACUCCUACGGGAGGCAGCAGUGGGGAAUAUUGGACAAUGGGGGCAACCCUGAUCCAGCCAUGCCGCGUGUGUGAAGAAGGUCUUUUGAUUGUAAAGCACUUUAAGCAGUGAAGAAGAAAUUAUGGUUAAUACCCAUAUGCUUUGACAUUAACUGCAGAAUAAGCACCGGCUAACUCUGUGCCAGCAGCCGCGGUAAUACAGAGGGUGCAAGCGUUAAUCGGAAUUACUGGGCGUAAAGCGAGCGUAGGUGGUUAAAUAAGUCAGAUGUGAAAGCCCUGGGCUUAACCUAGGAACGGCAUCUGAAACUAUUUAACUAGAGUAGGUGAGAGGGAAGUAGAAUUCCAGGUGUAGCGGUGAAAUGCGUAGAUAUCUGGAGGAAUACCGAUGGCGAAGGCAGCUUCCUGGCAUCAUACUGACACUGAGGCUCGAAGGCGUGGGUAGCAAACAGGAUUAGAUACCCUGGUAGUCCACGCCGUAAACGAUGUUUACUAGUCGUUGGGUCUACUUGAAGACUUAGUGACGCAGCUAACGCAAUAAGUAAACCGCCUGGGGAGUACGGCCGCAAGGUUAAAACUCAAAUGAAUUGACGGGGGCCCGCACAAGCGGUGGAGCAUGUGGUUUAAUUCGAUGCAACGCGAAGAACCUUACCUGGUCUUGACAUACACAGAAUCUUGUAGAGAUACGAGAGUGCCUUCGGGAAUUGUGAUACAGGUGCUGCAUGGCUGUCGUCAGCUCGUGCCGUGAGGUGUUAGGUUAAGUCCUGCAACGAGCGCAACCCCUAUCAUUAGUUGCCAGCGUUUAAAGACGGGGACUCUAAUGAGACUGCCUACGCAAGUAGAGAGGAAGGUGGGGACGACGUCAAGUCAUCACGGCCCUUACGUCUUGGGCUACACACGUGCUACAAUGGACGUUACAGACGGUUGCCAACCCGCGAGGGGGAGCUAAUCUGAGAAAGGCGUUCGUAGUCCGGAUUGCAGUCUGCAACUCGACUGCAUGAAGUCGGAAUCGCUAGUAAUCGCAGAUCAGAAUGCUGCGGUGAAUACGUUCCCGGGUCUUGUACACACUGCCCGUCACACCAUGGGAGUUGGUUGCAAAAGAAGUAGGUAGUCUAACUUUUAGAGGACGCUUACCACUUUGUGGUCAAUGACUGGGGUGAAGUCGUAACAAGGUAACC
rnacentral:rRNA from 1 species